UAUAUGAUCUCCGUAGCAACACACGGGCACUCAACUAGUCAAUCCAUAUUUGGUCAAGGCGUCCAGCUCGUGCUACGGCUGUUGCCUGUUGGCAUUGGCACAUCUCUCUCCCUUUCUUCUCAGGAAAAUAUCCUAAUAAACAAGUUUUCACCAACAUUUUUACAGAAAAUUAUAUUUCUUUAUAAUACAAGCCAUGCGUCAACACUUUUGCAAGAAAACACUUCUAUUUCUUUGUAAUCAACUUGCAGUUCAAGCCGUGCGUCAACACUUUUAUAAUUUUUUUUAUAUUUCUUUGUAAUCAACCCAUGGUUUAAGCCUUUCCAUCCUGUUUCUAUGUGCCAUCACAACGCACGAAUAUUAUACUAGUCUCUACUAUAUAAAGUAUCGUUUUUCACGGUACAUGUGCUCCUCUAUAUCUAAAUAGUAAAAAGCUAAAAUUUCGAACCAUAGUUGUUAACUCUAAAAUCACAUUUAUAUCCUAGCUAACGGAACACACAUAUCUUUAUAUUUCAUACUCCCUCCGUCCUAAAAUAAUAUUCGUUUUAACUCUUGAUUUUUAUAUCUAUAUUCAAAUGGAUGAUGAUAAAUCUAGACACAUAUGCAAAACAUGUACAUAAAGUAUUGUAUGAAUCCAUUAAUUUUCUAACCCUAAAUUUUAAUUUAGUACAACAUGAGUAAUUUAUACUUAUAAAUGAAAAUCUCAUACUUUAUAUUUAUACCUAUAAAUGAAAAAUCGUAUUUUCCAUGAUUUGGUUGUUGGCACUUGGAAGCGUGAGAGCAGGCCAACGGUUGGGCUAAGCCGUUGUGGUGGAUCGUUAGCGCGGUGGACGGUGGUUGUGACCAACCAAACCGUCUAGCUCCCCCAAUCCCAUGAUGCAUGCGUCAAUGCGUGUGACCUCACCCAUACUGUACAUGGCACCACCUACUGCUCCCCUAUCCCCUGCCUGCUGUGUUCACUAACCCACCUCCGCCCCCCGUUCCGGGUCCCCCUCCCCGUCAGAAGGUUCCCCAGAUUUAUAGCCCGGAGUAGCGGCGGCGACGGGGCAUGCGCUCGGAGCCCAAACCAGGUUACAACGAGAGCAAGGCCAUCCCUGAUUCCCUGAUGCCUUCUUCCUUGAGAAGGCCUCCGCGGAGGCGUUCAUGGAGCGAGUCGAGUCGGUAGUGGGCGAGGUAUUCAACAUCGUCAGGCAGUGGCAAACUCAGCAGCAGAAGCAGGUCCAGGAGUUCCAGGCACUACACGACACACACUUGGCUCCAGAUGAGCAUUCAUAGUAUUUCGUCUUCCAUGUCAAUUAACCUAUAAACUCUUUAAUAAUUGACGUCUCGAUGAUGUGUUAUCAUCCAUGUUUAACUUAAAUGUGUUCUAGUUCUGAAAUACCAAAGUUUAUAAAACAAAAGAUAUGCAACAAGGAAUCAACAUUGAACUGUAGGUGUAUGUGUGAUAGCCUACCAAGUGUAAAAGUAGAUAUGUUCCCUUGGUUAGGUGUAGCUAAACAUAUGGUGAAAAUUGGCAGAAGGGAAAUGGUCCUAACAUUCAUUUUUUGGAAGAACUAUAUGGUAUAGACUACAGAGUUCAGAUGCUCAAGGUAGACAGUGGCUGUUUGGUUUGGAGGUAUAACAUAAAUAAAAUGUUCCAUGUUAUUAUUGAUAAAUGCAUUACAUACAAUAAAGAAUACCAUUGCAUACUUUUUUUUUAUUUCAUUCUUUAUUUUCUAUAACCCUGGUUGUACCUCACAUGCUACUGAAUUCUCUUAUAUAUAUGAUACAUAUAAGAGGAAGUAUUUCAAUGAGCCCAAAAGGCUAAGGAGAGAGCUGCAACUGAAGCUAGUGAAGAUAAGGGGACAAGGUCUCUAAGGGAAUCUUCAGCAACUACUCUAAUGACUACACCAAUGUCAUCUCCCCCUACUAUUCCCACACAGACAGAAUAGUUCUAGAAUUCUUGGUGGUAAUAAAGAGUUGUUGCUGAAGUAAAUGCAGUUCUUUCUGCAGCCAAAAAAACUUUAGUUGGCUUUCACAUGAUAUGUGGCGAUGAAAAUAUGUUUUCGUAUGAAUGGCAUCGUGAGGAAGAACUUUUGCAUCUAGAGUGUUUGGGUAUAUGUAAUAUGUUGUAUGCCAAAUGCAACUUCAAAAACCUUGGUAACAAUAUAGAAUUAGUGUCUUGAUUUAUGCUAUUUACUAAUAUUUUUAACUUAGAAUGGGGAAUUAAUUGCAGAAGCUUCAGAGGAGAUUUCUGAAAGAAUGGUUUAAUCUAGAAAAUAAUGAAUUAAUGUUCUUUUUGUAUCAAAUGCCAUAUGCAGAGGUAUUGUUUCAUUGAGGACUUCCAUUCUUCUAGUGACAAUAUGUAUGUGUACUGGAUUGUGCAAGCAAUUGCUGAUUACUUUGAUGUGUGGAUUCAUGCUUACACUUUGCAUCAUUCAUGGUUCUGUCAUAUUGUCUCCCAAGUUGAUUCCUAUAUGUCACUAUGUAAUGCAUGAUUUAAUGUAGAUGGCCACUAGUUAUGUGUGCAAAUUCUAGUUGAUGAAGUGGCAAUGUGUUCUCACUUAUCAGUCCCUGAUAAGCUAAAAUUUCACCAAAACCUGGUCAUAUAGACCAAGUGCAGGUAACCAUAUCAUAAAAAAUGCAAUUAUAUUAUUUUUGUUGUCGUGUUAUUGAAAUGUUGGAAAUAUAUUUUGGGCUAGAAGGAGGAUGGCCAGACUAUGUACUCUACUACUCUGCUUGGCCAGACUAUGUACUCUACUACUCUGCUUCUUCCUUUUCAGUAAACUCCCUUUAGAUACAUAUUUGAAAAAAAUAAGCUUAGAUUUUAUUAUGGCACUGGCAUACAUGGGCAUGAGAAAAAUUACGGUGUAAACAUUUUUAACAAAUCAUUGAGUAAUGUAGAAACAAGGACUUUGAGAAUUCUGUAUUUCUGUACUAGGAAACCAUAUGCUUAGGCAAUUCUUCAGAGGCCAUCUCUAUCUGUUCAUAGCCCUUGAUAAACUUGCUAUACCAUUUAGCAGACAAUUUUGGUGUUCGCUUUAGUGACUUGAAAUUCACAUGACAAAGACCAUACUUUACGGUGUAACCAGAGAUCCAUUCGAAGUUAUCCAUCAAAGACCACACAAAAUAACCUCUCACAUCUGCUCCUUUCCUGCACAAAAGUAGCAAAGUUUUAUUAUUACCUGGCUGGAGAGCAGUUUACAUGAAAAGAUAAUUGAGGCAUGCAACAACCUUAUUGCAAAGCUCAAGUAAGUGAGGUAGUCACGAAUGUAAGUUGAUCUUUCAAUAUCAUUAAUUAUUUCUUCUGCUGUAGUGCUAAUAUUGGCUAUUUGGGCAUAACCUGAAAGAUAAAAAAAGGGUGAUCAAGAGAUCCAUACAGAUAUUUUUUAUGGUACCAGUGUACUACAAGUGUAAUAUAUGUAAAUAAGCAUGGAAGUGAAUCAUUGUUAUGCACAAAGGCAUAUAUUUUGUAUCUAAUUUGUAGAUUUUAGGGAACCUAGUAACCCACCGUUCUCUGUGAUGUACAAAGGUAUGCUUUUAUAUCUCUGCUUUAAAUACAUGACCAACUUCUCCAUGGAGCUUGGAACGACAUAGGUGUUUGCAACAGGUGUCUGCAAUAUUAGUUUAGUUGUGUUAGCUUGUGCAUAAUUAAUUUGUAACUAGGAUUCUUGUUGAAUAGAAUAAUGCAAUAUACAAUGCCGAUUUUUACCGGUUUUCCAAUGGGUAUCCCAUUUCGUUCUGUUGAUAUAGAAACUAAAGCUUCAGAAGGGUAGGCGUCCAUAUCACAUAGAGAAUAUAUGCAAUCCUUGACAUAGAAUGUUUGGUAGUGAUUUACCCCGAUGAAGUCAAUUUGGUUCUUCAGUAGUUUCUUCUCUCCUUCUGUAAAUUUUGGCAAGUUUGGACCUAAGAUUUGGCGCAUCUGGUGAGGAUAGUCACCAAAGAACAAGGGAUCCAAGAUCCUGUUUUAGCAUAUAUCAUCAAGUGAGCAUUCAAUCGUGAAGAUCAAAAGUUAGUUCCAAUCGUAAAAUGCUAGUAUGAUGGAAGGUUACUGAAUCAAUUGAUACCAUGGAGCAUCGAAAGACAGAGCUCGGCUUACUGCCAAGUGGUCCUCUGUGAUAUUCCUUAGUGGUUCAUACCAUCUUAGAUGUAAUGAAAUUCCUACAAAGCCACCUUGCUUGGACUGAGAAGGAUGGGGAACAAGGAAAACAAAUUAUACAACUUUCAUGAGUAUUUAAGAGCAAGCACACGGGCUCAGUUGAUGAAUUCCCUGAAUCACAUUUCCCAUAUGGCUCGGAACAACGGUUGGGUGGAAAUGCCCCAAUGGAGUAUGCAAGCUUUACAAUAAGAUUUGGCUCAUUGAAUGUGACCCAGUGCUUUACUCGGUCACCAAACAUCUUGAAGCAAAGCUCAACGAAGUAGGUGAAGUCCUCCCUGAAUAGAAAUAAAGAAACAACCACAUAUGAACUUACGGCAUCUUCGUAGAUAAAGCUAUAAUAUAGGUGACUAACUGAAUUUGACUUACUGAAUCUCUGGGUUCAACCAAGAAUUGUAUCUUUCUUGGAGUUCUUCAGGUAUGUCAUAGUGGUUGAUCGUCACAAAUGGUUGUAUCCCUGCUCCAAGCGUAUCAAAUGUCAGGCCCAGAUGAAAUAGACUGGACUGAAAGGCGUGCUUGUUUUGCAGGAUGGCAUUUGUGGAGGGAGGUAGCUGCCCGCAUAAUAGCAGAACAGAAGGCGUACCUUUUUCUAGCAGUCCGUUGAUGAGGCUAUUGUAGAAUUUAACGCCUGCCUGAUUAACACCUCCGAAGCGACCCUCUGGCCAUGGAUAUUUGAAAGGUACAAGCAUAUAAUUUAAGUUAAACACCGGCACUAAGGAAGGAUCACGUGCGUGUUGUCGAGCUGGUAGCUGUGUCAGAAGUCAUUGACAGUUGGUGUAAUUCUGAGAAUGAGCUCACUUGGAAGAAUUCUCGACCACGACAA